rnacentral:lncRNA from 1 species
GCCAAACUAUAAAAGUUUCUAAGUAUUUGAUUGAGGAUUGAAGAUAUUGAUCAUAUUGCAUUUAAGGACGUCGAAGUAGUUUCACUCUUUGCAUCAAGGUUGAAUCCACGAUCUUCUUUUAUCCAAGAAUUAAAAUGCAUCCUAUAAAUUCAAAAAAAAUAAUAAUUAAUGUAAAAAGAAUGAGUACAUAUAAGAGAAAUUUUAAUACAAAAUGCAAGUUUAAUCAGGGUCGGCUUCAAGGUGAAGCCACCGAAGCAAGCGUUUUAGGCCUCCGAUUUUUGGAGGCCUUAUUUUUUUUUAAAGCAUUAUAGGUUUGUAGUUUUUUUUUUAGAUUUUUUUCUUUAGAAAGUAACAAAUAUUUCUUAAUAUUUUCUUCAUCACAUUUUAAUUUCUCUUAAGUUCAAAUAAAAAUAUCACUUUAGAAAUUCAAGAUUAAAGUUGACAAUCAACAUUAAAAAAAAUUCUUUUAAUACUCUCAAAUCUAAAAAGAACAUCUAAUAAAUAGAGGACACUCAGAAAAUAAUACCUUCUAUUUAUUAUUUUGACUAAUGGGGCGAAAAAAAUCAAAGCAACAAUUACAGUUGAGUCGAAGAAGUUGAAAGAUAAGAUGUAUUUCGGUCAAAUAAAAAGAUUUUACUAUUUUAUGAAUGCAUAUUUUUCUUGAUCCUGUGUAAUUGUCUUAGCUGAAAGAAGUUUUUUAAAAAUAAAAUUUCAAAAAUAUUACUUAAGUUUAAAAAAAUUAAUUUCAAGAGAUAUCAAAUGAAUUAAGCAUACUAUUAAUUGAAAAGGGAUUUUUUCAGAUAAAUCAAUUACAAAACAGUUUUAUUAAUAAUUUUACACCUCAAAAAACUAUAAAUAUAGAUUUGCAAAAAAUAAUAAUUCAAAGCCUCAUUUUACAAUUUCGCUUUAGGCCAUCAAUUAUGUUGAGCCGCACCAAUUGUAGGGGGUGCGGAUAACUUUAAUAGAUCUAUUGUAAUGGAUCUAUUUUUAGUUGUGCGUGGAUAUUUCUUAACUUCUCUAAAUAUUUUUAUUUUUAGUUUAUUGUUCAUAUCUUGGGGGGUGAUUAACUGGUAUUUGGUUAAAUGCUUUACUGUAGUAUUCUUUAGUUUUUUCACGUAGUCUUUGUAAUUCUUCUAUAUUAUUUUUAAGGUAUUCUAAAUAUUCUAUAUCUUUUGUUCUAAAAUAUUCGAUUAAAUUCUCUUUCAUUAGCAUUUCUUCUAGUCUUAUUUCUUUCAUAUCUUGUCUCCAAUAUUUUAAAUACUCAUAGUUUAUCAUUUUAUUCUAAAGUAGUUGCUCGUUUACUAGUUUCUGUGUAAUAUUCUAUUCUAAUUGUACUAUAAUUUAUAUCUGAAUUAAGAUUAUUAAUACUAUUAAUUAACUCUCUUUCUUCUUCUCUUAAUGAGUUUUUUUAUUUUAUAUAAACUUUUAUCUGUACUUUUUUCUAAAUUUUUUAAGGUUUCUUUUAUCCAUAUUAAUUUUUCUUUUAGAUUUUCCAUUAUUUCUUUGAGUCGGUUUCUAUAAUUAAUUACUUCAUAUAGGUCACUUUGAUUUUCUCUAAUUUUCUAAUAUAUUCUAACAUUUUAGUCUGAAUAAUAUCCAUCUGAGUAAUUAUCUAGGUAUAGUUGUUCUAUCCAAUUUAUAAUUUNNNNNNNNNNNNNNNNNNNNNNNNNNNNNNNNNNNNNNNNNNNNNNNNNNNNNNNNNNNNNNNNNNNNNNNNNAUGUAAGUAUUUAUAAGAGUAGUUCGGUAGGUGUGGUAUAUAAUUAAUUCUAGUCAUAAAAUAUCUAUCAAAUAUUUUUUCCAAUAUGAUUUUUCUUAUAUCUACUAUUUCUAUAUCCUUAAGUACAUAUAAAACGAGUAUUUUAAAUUUAUCUACCAUUUCGUCAGAUAAAUAAGUAUUCGUUUUUCAUAUGAUGCUUUUUCAAAAUAUUUCCUUCAAUCAUAUACAUAACAAAAUAUGAUCAUUUUAGAUUACUAUAUACUAGAUUAUUCUUAAAUACCAUAUUCUUCGGUCACUAUUAGCAUGGUAAUUUGGAUACUUUUCCCUUAAACAGUGCCUCUACUCUGGCUACUCUCCUAUCACGGCUUUCUCGCCUCACCGGUUUCACCUUUAGGAUGACAUAGUUCUUAGGGAUUUUCUCCUUUUUCACUUUGCUAAUAAACUUCUUAACAUGCUAUUUUUCGAAUAAUUCUACUAUAAAGCAACUAACAUGAACUUAUUUUAUCAUAUCAUGAUUGUUAGAAAUUCAUGAAUUUAGCUAUUCAUAAAAGUAAAUGAAUAUACCUGUUCUGGCAGAUUUGAUAAUUCUAAGUUUUGUUCCUCCAUAGAUUUUUCUAUUGAAAUAUACCUGUUUUUAAAUAAUCAAAAUAUUUGUUGUAGACAAGAGAGAGUUUUUGCUUCAACG